ACGCUCGACACCUACGGAGGCAGCAGUGGGGAAUAUUGCACAAUGGGGGAAACCCUGAUGCAGCGACGCCGCGUGAGUGAAGAAGUAUUUCGGUAUGUAAAGCUCUAUCAGCAGGGAAGAAGAUGACGGUACCUGAGUAAGAAGCCCCGGCUAACUACGUGCUAGCAGCCGCGGUAAUCUGAGCGGGCUGGCAAGGC
rnacentral:rRNA from 1 species